AACUCGAAGAGGGUUUUUAGUCGUUAGGCGCUCCCACCAGGAGUGAAUCCGACACUACCCCCCUUUUGGGGGGUGUCUCUAGAAGAUUUCCCCUCCUCG
rfam:Agrilus planipennis Contig61776, whole genome shotgun sequence.